GACGAACGCUGGCGGCGCGCUUAACACAUGCAAGUCGAGCGAUGAAAUUUUAACAGAUCCCUUCGGGGUGAAUAUAAAAUGGAUUAGCGGAAGACGGGAGAAUAACACGAGAGUAACCUGCCUUACACAUUGAGAUACCCUCGAGAAACCGGGAUUAAUACCGAAUAAUAUCACAGAUACACGUGUCUCCGUGAUCAAAACUCCCGGGGUCUAAUAUGGACUCGCGUCACAUUAUCUAGGUGGAGAGGUAACGGCCCACCAGGGACAAUAUGGGUACCCUGUCUGAGAAGGAGAACGGCCACUUUGGAACUGACAGACGGUCCACACUCCUACGGGAGGCAGCAGUGGGGAAUAUUGCACAGUGGAAGGAACUCUGAUGCAGCCACCCCGCGUGAACAAAAAGUGCUUUCAAGUCAUAAAGUUCUUUUAUGUGGGAAGAUAGUGACGGUACCAUAAGAAAAAUCCCCGGCUAACUACGUGCCAACACCCGCGGUUAUACAUAGGGCGCUAGCGUUGUCCAGAAUCUCUGGGCGUAAAGGGUUCGCACGCGGAAAUGCAACUCAUAUGUAAGAUGCAGGAUCUUAACUACUGUAAGCAUUUGACACUGCAUAUCUUGAAAAGAGUAGAGGUAAGUGGAAUUUUUAGUGUAGCGGUGAAAUGCGUAGAUAUUGAAUAGCAUGUCCGGUGGGAGAGGCUACUUACUGGGCUCAUUCUGACGGUGAGGAACGAAAGCGUGCGUAGCAAACAGGAUUAGAUACUUGUGUAGUCCACGCUGUAAACGAUGAGUGCUAGGUGUCGCCAUAAGUCGGUGCCGCAGUUAACACAAUAAGCAUUCCGCUUGGGGAGUACGUGCGCAAGCAUGAAAUUCAGAGGAAUUGACGGGGACCCCCCCAAGAGGCGGAGCAUGUAGUUUAAUUCGAAGCAACGGGAAGACCCUUACCAGGGCUUGACAUAGUGAGGACCGGUAUAGAGAUAUCCCCUCUUUUUCGGAAGCCUCAAUACAGGUGGUGCAUGGUUGUCGUCAGCUCGUGUCGUGAGAUGUUGGGUUAAGUCCCGCAACGAGCGCAACCCUUAUCUUUAGUUGCCAGCAUUUAGGAUGGGAACUUUAAAGAGGCUGCCGAUGAUCAAUUGGAGGAAGGUGGGGAAGACGUCAAAUCAUCCUGCCCUAUAUGCUCUGGGCUACCCCCAUGGUUCAAUGGAAGGUACAAAGGGACGCAAGAUAGUGAUAUUAAGCCAACCUCAAAAAGCCUUUCUCAGUUCGGAUUGUAGUCUGCAACUCGAGUACAUGAAGUUGGAGUUGCUAGUAAUCGCAGAUCAGAAUGUUGCGGUGAAUGCGUUCCCGGGUCU
rnacentral:rRNA from 1 species